rnacentral:rRNA from 1 species
UACGUAGGGGGCAAGCGUUGUCCGGAUUUACUGGGCGUAAAGAGCGCGUAGGCGGAAAUUUAAGCGUGGCCUGAAAGCCCCCGGCUCAACCGGGGAGUGCGGCUGCGAACUGGGUUUCUUGAGGACGAUAGAGGAGAGUGGAAUUCCUGGUGUAGCGGUGAAAUGCGUAGAUAUCAGGAGGAACACCGGUGGCGAAGGCGGAUCUCUGGGCCAUUACUGACGCUGAGGAGCGAAAGCGUGGGGAGCGAACAGG